UUAAAUUGAAGAGUUUGAUCAUGGCUCAGAUUGAACGCUGGCGGCAGGCCUAACACAUGCAAGUCGAACGGUAACAGGAAUCAGCUUGCUGAUUUGCUGACGAGUGGCGGACGGG
rnacentral:rRNA from 1 species